CCUACGGGUGGCAGCAGUGGGGAAUAUUGGACAAUGGGGGCAACCCUGAUCCAGCCAUGCCGCGUGUGUGAAGAAGGCCCUCGGGUUGUAAAGCACUUUCAGUGAGGAAGAACGCCUGGUGGUUAAUACCCAUCAGGAAAGACAUCACUCACAGAAGAAGCACCGGCUAACUCCGUGCCAGCAGCCGCGGUAAUACGGAGGGUGGCGAGCGUUAAUCGGAAUUACUGGGCGUAAAGCGCGCGUAGGUGGCUUGAUAAGCCGGUUGUGAAAGCCCCGGGCUCAACCUGGGAACGGCAUCCGGAACUGUCAAGCUAGAGUGCAGGAGAGGAAGGUAGAAUUCCCGGUGUAGCGGUGAAAUGCGUAGAGAUCGGGAGGAAUACCAGUGGCGAAGGCGGCCUUCUGGACUGACACUGACACUGAGGUGCGAAAGCGUGGGUAGCAAACAGGAUUAGAUACCCGAGUAGUC
rnacentral:rRNA from 1 species